UAAUAGGAUCUGAUGCCCUCUUCUGGUGUGUCUGAAAACAGCUACAGUGUACAUAAAUAGGUUUUUUCUUCUUCCUUUUUUUAAUAAAAAACUAAUGGCAGGCUAGCCAAGUAACUGCUACCUAGGCCUUAACAGGAACACUGGCUGCUUUUGCAAAGGACCCAGGUUCAGUCCUCAGCACCCACAUCGCAUGGCAGUUAACUGUUAACUCCAAUUCCAGAUAUGGCGCCGCCUUCUGUUCUCAGUGAGCACUGCAUGCAUGUAGUACACAGACAUGAGACAUGCCAGCAAAGCUCUCAUGCAUAAAUAAAAAUCUUUUUUUUUUUAAACAAAGCAUAACCAGGAAUUUUUAAAGCAGAAGAGAAUUGCUAGGGCAGUUUGAACAUAGGUAGAUAUUAGAGAAAUAGGAUAAUGAAUUUUUUUAAAAGGUUAUCAGAGAAAAUGAGGGUAAAGGUAAGCAGCACCAGUAUGAAGAGCUGCAUGGAGUAAGAUGCAGGGCCGGGAAACUGGCUUUUAAAGACUGAUCCCAGGCCUGGGCAGUGGUGGCACACACCUUUAAUCCCGGUACUCAGGAGGCAAAGUAGGCAGGUAGAUCUCUGGGUUUGAGGCCAGCCUGGUCUAUAGAACAAGUUCCAGGACAUCAAGGACUACAUAGAAAAACCCUGUUGGGGGUGGGGAGGGGGAAAACAAAAGCCUGAUCCUAAAACAUAAACACCUUGUACAGAGAGGUGGGAUAGCUUAUGUUACUAAGGGAAACUCUUGACUUGGUGCCAGGAUAGGUCAUGGGAAGGGAAGCCUUUUAGACCAGUGGUUCCUAAAGCUGCAACCCUUUAACACAGUUCCAGGUGGGCAUCUCUGCAGACCCGCCUGGAGACGAUAGAGGAAUGGUGUAUCAGUUCCUACAGACCUUUGAGCCCCAUGGGCUGAAAGCCCGUUUUAGAGCAUCUGGGUCUCUGGCAGUGGGGUCUAUGUGAUCCUCUCAGCACAUCUCAGGUCUCCAUCUCCAAGCGUCUAUAAGAUACUUGACCAAUUGAUGUGCAUGCUGAUGCAUCGUUUUCAUUAAAGUUUCUUGGGCUUGAGCUACAGUUCAGUGGUAGAGUACUUGCCUGGCAAGCACAAGACUCCAAGGAGAACAUGAUGGUGCUCACCUGUAAGCCAGCAACCUUGCCACCAAGCCUGACAGUCCAAGUGCAUCUAAGUUCCUGGGACACACAUGGUAUAAGAAAAUACCAUAAUAAUAAAUAAUAAAUGUAAUUUAUAAAUUUAACUUUUUUAAAAACCAGGCAUCAGGAUAUGGGUCUGGUAGUGUACCCCUUUAAUCGCAGCACUCAGGCAAAGUGCAGAGGCCAGCCUGGUCUACAUUGUUGAGUUCCAGGCCAGCCAAGGCUACAUAGUGAUUCUCAAUCUUUCUAAUACUGUGACUCUUUAAUACAGUUCUAAAUACACGUAUGUGGGUGUGUCUGCCUGUGGCAGCCCACCUGAAGAGGAUAGAGGAGUCCUGUCUCAGUUCUUAAACCUAGCUUCAUCUUCGAUAGUUGUCUUUGGAAACCUCUUUGAAAAGAUCAUUGGACCAACUGCAAUGGCAUCCUGACCCCCACAGGUUGAGAACCACUAGGGCCUUGCCACACCACCUCCAGUAGGAUCUGUGUGACAAAUUCCACAGACUGAGGCGAUUGACCUCCUGGAAUUGGCUGUGGAACUCUUUAAUGGAGAAAAUAUAUUGAGCCGUAGUUCUCAUGGCAGUCUAUCUGUUUUGUUUUCUCUUAUUCUUUUCUUAUUUACACAUUCCUGGUAGCCUAAGAUGGGGGUCACUAACAUGACCUUAUCCCCAGGGAAACCAACACUUUACUUUCUAAAUCAUUUACAAAACUUGUAUGAUAAAAACUUUCCCAACAAUAAAAUUUCAUAUGGCUACUUGUGUGUCAUCAGAGGUGGAUUUUGGUAUAUGGUAAAGAAAGCCUUAAUUAGAAAGAUUUAAAAUAGUUUAAAUUUAUACAUUGAAGAUUAUAAAAAAUCAGGCACUAGAUGUUAAAUAAUAAUUGACCAUGGGGCUGGAAAGUUAGUUCAGUGGUUAAGAGCACUGACCAUUAAAGAUUUAUUAACCUGCUCCUGGAAAUAUGUCACUAGCCUUGGACGACAGCCCCCACUGUAUACAUCCUUUUAGAAUUGUUAUAUUUUGAUGAUUUACAUUAAUAAUGAUGUUAUCUGUUCUGUUGUGAUCCACUGAACACAUAGUUUCAGAGUUGUAAUGCUUGGAUGAUUUUUUGUGCUUUACUGUGCCAAAUGAUUUUUGUUGGUUUCUGUGAUUGUUUCACUGGAUAUAUACUUUCUAAGAGAUAUAAUGUUUGUUUUUUUAAUGUAUAAAAUCCCCUGCUUGAGAGCUGCAGAAUACACUCAGAUUCAAACUGC
rnacentral:lncRNA from 1 species